AUUGAACGCUAGCGGGAUGCUUUACACAUGCAAGUCGAACGGCAGCGCGGACUUCGGUCUGGCGGCGAGUGGCGAACGGGUGAGUAAUGUAUCGGAACGUGCCCAGUAGCGGGGGAUAACUACGCGAAAGCGUAGCUAAUACCGCAUACGCCCUACGGGGGAAAGCAGGGGAUCGUAAGACCUUGCACUAUUGGAGCGGCCGAUAUCGGAUUAGCUAGUUGGUGAGGUAACGGCUCACCAAGGCGACGAUCCGUAGCUGGUUUGAGAGGACGACCAGCCACACUGGGACUGAGAAACGGCCCAGACUCCUACGGGAGGCAGCAGUGGGGAAUUUUGGACAAUGGGGGCAACCCUGAUCCAGCCAUCCCGCGUGUGCGAUGAAGGCCUUCGGGUUGUAAAGCACUUUUGGCAGGAAAGAAACGUCGCGGGCUAAUACCCCGUGGAACUGACGGUACCUGCAGAAUAAGCACCGGCUAACUACGUG
rnacentral:rRNA from 1 species